AAUAUCGAGCCAACAAGAAAGGAGAUUUCAGUUUUUCAUAUAUCGAAGAAGCUUGUUCCUGGAUCUGCUAGUCAUAAUGAAGAUGACAUUGUGAUGAUUUUUAGGAUCCUCCACAAAGACAAAAUCAGUUUACCACAAAGAAAAAACAUCAUGGCGAUUUCUUAGCUUCACCUGUAAAGAAAAAAAUGAAGCCACAUCCUAAAGGUGUAGAUGAGCUGAUAUCAAAACGGACCCAUCCACUCUGUGCUGCAAAGAUACCUUUUUUCAGGACUCUAAUUCACAAGCCAAUUCAAACAAAAGUUACGCUACGUGAAAAUAGGAAAGACAUAAACCGGCCUAACAGUAAAAAAUCUAUUCCGGUUCAGUCACCUGCUCUGUCUUCGUUCAGUUCUGAAGAUGAAGACGGUGUUGUCUCGAAGAAAGUCUUUGAUAAGUUUUGUGAAAAGGUAUGACAAGAGUUUAAUGAUGUCCGUGGCCUAGUCUUCCAGAUUUGAUCAGAUGAUGAAUGCAAUCAAUGAAAAUAAGAAACAAGCAAAAGGCAGCGAAUUUGAUCAGCCACCAGCGGAUAAAAAUGUUAAGAGUACAUCACCCCAUCAAGCGACUACAAAGUUUGUUCAUGAGUUUAAUAAGAGUCCAGAAGGCACAUUGGUAAGUAAAUUUCGUACAUUUAUAUUCAACUAAUUUUAUAUAUACAACUCUAGUUUAUCAUUAUAAAAAAUAAUAUUAAAACAGGUUA